AUUGAACGCUGGCGGCAUGCCUUACACAUGCAAGUCGAACGGCAGCGGACCUUCGGGUGCCGGCGAGUGGCGAACGGGUGAGUAAUAUAUCGGAACGUACCUUUCAGUGGGGGAUAACGUAGCGAAAGUCACGCUAAUACCGCAUAUUCUGUGAGCAGGAAAGCAGGGGAUCGCAAGACCUUGCGCUGAUUGAGCGGCCGAUAUCAGAUUAGCUAGUUGGUGAGGUAAAGGCUCACCAAGGCGACGAUCUGUAGCGGGUCUGAGAGGAUGAUCCGCCACACUGGAACUGAGACACGGUCCAGACUCCUACGGGAGGCAGCAGUGGGGAAUUUUGGACAAUGGGCGCAAGCCUGAUCCAGCCAUGCCGCGUGAGUGAAGAAGGCCU
rnacentral:rRNA from 1 species